UACGUAGGGUGCAAGCGUUGUCCGGAAUCAUUGGGCGUAAAGAGCGUGUAGGCGGUCCGGUAAGUCGGCUGUGAAAGUCCAGGGCUCAACCCCUGGGAUGCCGGUCGAUACUGGUGGACUAGAGUCCGGAAGAGGCGAGUGGAAUUCCCGGUGUAGCGGUGAAAUGACGCAGAUAUCGGGAGGAACACCAAUGGCGAAGGCAGCUCGCUGGGACGGUACUGGACGCUGA
rnacentral:rRNA from 1 species